GCCCGGGUGGCGGAAUUGGAAGACGCGCACGUUUGAGGGGCGUGUGGGUAACCACUCCCAUCCGGGUUCAAGUCCCGGCCCGGGCACCA
rnacentral:tRNA from 1 species